GCCAGGUGCGGUGGCGUGCGCCUGUAAUCCCAGCACUUUGGGAGGCUGAGGCAGGUCGAUCACCUGAGGUCAGGAGUUCGAGACCAGCCUGGCCAACAUGGUGAAACCCUGUCUCUA
rnacentral:SRP_RNA from 2 species